UACGUAGGGUCCAAGCGUUAUUCGGAAUGACUGGGCGUAAAGGGCGUGUAGGCGGCUCGAGAAGUCUGGCGUUAAAUCUCUCGGCUCAACCGAGAGCUCGCGUUGGAAACCAUCGAGCUUGAAUCUUGCAGGGGUAAGCGGAAUUCCGGGUGUAGCAGUGAAAUGCGUUGAUAUCCGGAGGAACACCAAUGGCGAAGGCAGCUUACUAGGCAGGUAUUGACGCUGAGGCGCGAAAGCGUGGGGAGCGAACAGG
rnacentral:rRNA from 1 species